CCAGGUCGAGGAGCCAUUCGCACGACACCAGCGUGCUUACGUGGAGUACUCAAACGAGCUCGACGCACUUACUCCUUCGAUGGUGACUUGGCAACCGUAUCUUGAUCCAUAUUUCGCCAGCAUACAGUUGAGCAGCAUGUGCUCAAUAGACGAGAACCUCUACCUCAUGAGGUGUCCCCUCAUCUGUUUUUAUGCUGUUGAGUACCACUUGCCCCACAGAGUUGCUCGAUAGUUCGGAUUGCGUCAGGAGUUUCCGGUGGAGCCAUUCUCGACUUCAAUAGAACUUCAUAAGUUCGACAGACAGAGACAGAAGAAGGUCACGGACUUCGAGACGCACCAUCGUGAUUACAUUGAUGAAUGGGACCAGCAGGGGGAUCUGAACUAUGAGAAUGACCAGGCGCACACAAACUACAACUUCCGGAGGUAUUUGAUUUGGUAUUCUGGUGUGACUAGGUGCAAGUUGAAGGGACAGUGGACAGCAACAGACUACGCCGAGCAAGAAUCGUCAGACGACGAAGACACAGCUUUCGACAUAGCUGCUCGGCACGGGUCCCAAAUUGAGGCUGCUCCAAUCCUUGAUAGAGUG